rnacentral:lncRNA from 1 species
AUUUUACAAUUAAAAUAACUAUUACAAUGAAACGAAAAUUACAACUCAAACUUAAAGUAAUAUUUACAAUGUGCGGCCGAAGUUGGGCAAACUGCGGCUGCGAUAGUGUCAAGGGGCUAAGUAAAGCUGCGGUCUUUGACAUUCUCCCCCAUUUGUUUUGGCGACGUCCUCGGUGCCAUCAAUGCAUGAUACGCUUCAAUUAAUGAUUUGAAGGCCCCGAGAUCUUUUCCUCUUUCCCAAGUAUUCUCCUCGCUGCUGCAUCCCAUCCAUUUGACCAAGUACUCCUGAUGAUCUUUUCUAGAAGC